UACGGAGGAUGCAAGCGUUAUCCGGAAUGAUUGGGCGUAAAGCGUCCGCAGGUGGCAAUGUAAGUCUGCUGUCAAAGCGUCUGGCUCAACCAGAUAAAGGCAGCGGAAACUACAUAGCUAGAGUAAGGUAGGGGUAGAGGGAAUUCCUGGUGUAGCGGUGAAAUGCGUAGAGAUCAGGAAGAACACCGGUGGCGAAAGCGCUCUGCUGGACCUUAACUGACACUGAGGGACGAAAGCUAGGGGAGCGAAUGGG
rnacentral:rRNA from 1 species